rnacentral:rRNA from 1 species
AUGGUGCUCAGCGGAUUUGACUUGGUCUUGGGCGGUGCCGUCGUUGCUGUUGGUGGUGCAGACUCAGCGGCGCGGUGCUCGGUGGCAGUAGGUGGCAUCGGCGGUGUGGUGAGUUCUUUGGGUUCCUCAGUGCCGGGCAACACGGGAGCUAAAUCGACUGCGACCGCUUCAUGCUCAACAACGGCCACGACGGCACUGCUCCAUCUCACGGGCUACGGCGUCACUGCUCCAUCUAGCAGGUUAUGGCGGCGUCACGGACUCCAUUUUUUCCACUUUGGUGGGCGGUCGUCGAUUCCCAAUAGGCGGACCAGUCGUGCAACAUCAUUGGUGGUCCUCGGUGUCAGGUUUCCUUGA